rnacentral:rRNA from 1 species
UACGUAGGGCGCAAGCGUUGUCCGGAUUUAUUGGGCGUAAAGAGCUCGUAGGCGGUCUGUCGCGUCGGCUGUGAAAACCCGAGGCUCAACCUCGGGCCUGCAGUCGAUACGGGCAGACUAGAGUGCGGUAGGGGAGACUGGAAUUCCUGGUGUAGCGGUGAAAUGCGCAGAUAUCAGGAGGAACACCGAUGGCGAAGGCAGGUCUCUGGGCCACUACUGACGCUGAGAAGCGAAAGCAUGGGGGAGCGAACAGG